AGACAAGAAGACAAGAAAAUGAUUUGAGGACAGCUUCAAUCGCGGUGUGAAGAAGAAAGCAACAAAACGACCACUGAAAACAAUGCCGGUGGCAAAACAUCCAAAGAAAGGGUCCCAAGUGGUACAUCGUCAUAGCUGGAAACAGUCAGAGCCACCAGCCAAUGAUCUUUUCAAUGCUGCGAAAGCUGCCAAAAGUGACAUGCAGUGUGGCCAUGAGGUCUGCCGGAAGUGACUUGUUGGUGUUAUCUCCUGAGUUAAAAUGUGAAGGGAUUUUUUUUUUUCAGAUUACUGAGAGUCUUCAGUUACUAGUUUGUCUUUCCUAGAUCCAGACACGGGGACUGCAGAGAAAGGCUGUGUGCAUCCGCUGUCUACUCCACUGUCUCCUCUGCAGAGGCGGAUUUCCCUGACUGAAGACCAUGUUGCAGGCCCACAGCUGCCUACAGAACCGUCCCAAAAUAUGGCAAAGAAACCUAUUCUGAGGUUAAAUAUUUUGGUUUCUUUCAGUGGGAGGCAAGGGUCUUCCGGACUAGGGAGGUAGAUGUGCAGCAGCCUCAGGUGCUCUAGGUGCUUUGUAGCUACGCUGGCCAGGCCACCUGAGGUAGGUCCCCUUUGCACCAGUCUCACACCCUGCUGGGGGAUGGUAGUGGAGACAGCAGUAAAAGCAGGUCUGAGGCAGGUGUGGAGAUUAGUACAGGUGGCCUGGGCGAAGGGCAAAGGGUGAAGAGAAUGUUGGGAGCCAUGGGUGACUGGC
rnacentral:lncRNA from 1 species